rnacentral:rRNA from 1 species
CCGUCGACGAGCUCAGAGUUUGAUCCUGGCUCAGAACGAACGCUGGCGGCAGGCCUAACACAUGCAAGUCGAGCGGACCUUUCGGGGUCAGCGGCGGACGGGUGAGUAACGCGUGGGAAUAUGCCCUUCUCUACGGAAUAGUCCUGGGAAACUGGGGGUAAUACCGUAUACGCCCUUUGGGGGAAAGAUUUAUCGGGGAAGGAUUAGCCCGCGUUGGAUUAGGUAGUUGGUGGGGUAAUGGCCUACCAAGCCGACGAUCCAUAGCUGGUUUGAGAGGAUGAUCAGCCACACUGGGACUGAGACACGGCCCAGACUCCUACGGGAGGCAGCAGUGGGGAAUCUUAGACAAUGGGGGCAACCCUGAUCUAGCCAUGCCGCGUGAGUGAUGAAGGCCUUAGGGUUGUAAAGCUCUUUCAGCUGGGAAGAUAAUGACGGUACCAGCAGAAGAAGCCCCGGCUAACUCCGUGCCAGCAGCCGCGGUAAUACGGAGGGGGCUAGCGUUGUUCGGAAUUACUGGGCGUAAAGCGCACGUAG